rnacentral:rRNA from 1 species
GCUACUGCUAUCGGGGUUCGAUUAAGCCAUGCGAGUUAAAUGUUCUUCGUGAACAUAGCGAACUGCUCAGUAACACGUGGAUAACCUACCCUUAGGACCGGAAUAACCCCGGGAAACUGGGGAUAAUACCGGAUAAGCCAUAGACGCUGGAAUGCCCUAUGGUUCAAAGCUCCGGCGCCUAAGGAUGGAUCUGCGGUCUAUCAGGUUGUAGUGGGUGUAACGUACCUACUAGCCGACGACGGAUACGGGUUGUGAGAGCAAGAGCCCGGAGAUGGAUUCUGAGACACGAAUCCAGGCCCUGCGGGGUGCAGCAGGCGCGAACACUUUACAAUGCGGGAAACCGCGAUAAGGGAACCCCGAGUGCCAGCAUCAAAUGUUGGCUGUCCAGAUGAUUAAAAAUCAUUUGUAAGCAAGGGCCGGGCAAGACCGGUGCCAGCCGCCACGGUAACACCGGCGGCCCGAGUGGUAGCCGUUUUUAUUGGGUCUAAAGGGUCCGUAGCCGGCUUGAUAAGUCCUUUGGGAAAUCUGGCAGCUUAACUGUCAGGCUUCUAAGGGAUACUGUCAGGCUUGGGACCGGAAGAGGUAAGGGGUACUCCAGGGGUAGGAGUGAAAUCUUGUAAUCCCUGGGGGACCAUCUGUGGCGAAGGCGCCUUACCAGAACGGGUCCGACGGUGAGGGACGAAAGCUAGGGGAGCAAACCGGAUUAGAUACCCGGGUAGUCCUAGCUGUAAACGAUGCCCGCUAGGUGUCAGACACGGUGCGACCGUGUUUGGUGCCGCAGGGAAGCCGUUAAGCGAGCCACCUGGGAAGUACGGUCGCAAGGCUGAAACUUAAAGGAAUUGGCGGGGGAGCACUACAACGGGUGGAGCCUGCGGUUUAAUUGGAGUCAACGCCGGG